GCCGGGCGUGGUGGCUCAUGCCUGUAAUCCCAGCACUUUGGGAGGCUGAGGUGGGUGGAUCACCUGAGGUCAGGAGUUCGAGACCAGCCUGACCAACAUGGUGAAACCCCAUCUCUA
ensembl:misc_RNA Metazoa_SRP Metazoan signal recognition particle RNA